GAUGAACGCGGGCGGCGUGCCUAAUACAUGCAAGUCGAGCGAACAGACGAGGAGCUUGCUCCUCUGACGUUAGCGGCGGACGGGUGAGUAACACGUGGAUAACCUACCUAUAAGACUGGGAUAACUUCGGGAAACCGGAGCUAAUACCGGAUAAUAUAUUGAACCGCAUGGUUCAAUAGUGAAAGACGGUUUUGCUGUCACUUAUAGAUGGAUCCGCGCCGCAUUAGCUAGUUGGUAAGGUAACGGCUUACCAAGGCAACGAUGCGUAGCCGACCUGAGAGGGUGAUCGGCCACACUGGAACUGAGACACGGUCCAGACUCCUACGGGAGGCAGCAGUAGGGAAUCUUCCGCAAAGGGCGAAAGCCUGACGGAGCAACGCCGCGUGAGUGAUGAAGGUCUUCGGAUCGUAAAACUCUGUUAUUAGGGAAGAACAAAUGUGUAAGUAACUAUGCACGUCUUGACGGUACCUAAUCAGAAAGCCACGGCUAACUACGUG
rnacentral:rRNA from 1 species